rnacentral:rRNA from 1 species
UACGAGGGGGGCAAAUGUUGUUCGGAAUCACUGGGCGUAAAGGGAGCGUAGGCGGUUUUUUAAGUUAGGUGUUUAAUCCCGGGGCCCAACCCCGGACAGGCACCUAAAACUGGGAAACUUGAAUAGGGGAGAGGUCGGUGGAAUUGGAGGUGUAGCGGUGGAAUGCGUAGAGAUCUCCAAGAACACCAGUUGCGAAGGCGGCCGACUGGACCCAUAUUGACGCUGAGGCUCGAAAGCAUGGGGAGCAAACAGG